AAUUAGCAUCAUAUGUGAAAUACCUCAAAGCAAAUAGUAAAUUUAAUGUUACUAUGCAGAUAGGCCAAUUCAAUGAUGGAAAUUGAAGUCACAAACACAAGGGAUUCCAAUUCCAACCCCGUGCUCAAAAUGUCUUAGAAAAGCCAAAAUAUCAAAUGGUAAAUAUAAAACUUUCCCUCAGUUCUAAAUGAACCAGACAGACCACAUUAUGCAGAUCAAGAACUCCAUCCUUGUAGCUAUGAAGCCAAGAGUUCCUCAAUUUUUGCAAUCUGAUCCUCCUCAUUCUUUGUGGUUGGACUCCUAUUAGCCUCAUCAUACAAAUCAUGCUUCCAUUUUUCUACUCGAGCACCACUUGGGCGAUAAACUUGCCUUCCGCUAGAUCUCUCUCUUCCCCUGUAAUUGCCGCCACCACCACCACUAGUGUAUCUUUCCCUUGAAAGGAGGCUACCCCUCUGUGGUUCUUUCUUGUCUCCUAACACUGGCCUCUCAUAUCUGUCAGAAUGGCGGGGGUUGCGAUCUCUUUCCUCCCUCCUUUCACUCACCGAUGUGUGACGAUCAGGAUGACCCAGUCUCACGGGCUCACUAGCUGCUUUCUCAGCAUUUUCAGAGUCCACUGGAAUUUUCUUCUCCCUAAAUGCAGGUCUUUUCCUCACAGGUGGUGCUGGUUCAGCCUCCAUUUUGAAGAAACCAUCAUGGCGCCAGACAUUGUCACCCCCUUUAGCUUGUGCUUUCUCAUCCCUUUGCCGUGAAUCAUAACUUGAUGACUUGUCCAUUGCUCUUUCAUUUCCGACAUCCUUUGAAUCCCUCCAUUGACGCUCGGUAGCUGCUCUCCGACCAAAGUUUCGACCAACUUGCGCGGCAUUACCACGCUCAUCGUGCUGAAAAUAAGAUCGAGACCGAGGUACUUCAGUUGGAUCAGAAUGCUUGCUUCCUUCAUGAUGUCCAUUGGGUUUCUUGUCAGAUUCCUUGCUGACAGCACCAGACUCUACCUUGGAAUCAGGUGCUGAAGGAGCCUCAAGAGGUAAUGCAUCUUGCAGCCGCCUGCGAUGCUUUUGAUCCCGAUCUGCAUGAUCUUCAACAUCCAAGUUGGUGUUGCUAGGAACUCUCUCUGUCACUGGUUUUCCAUCCCUCCUAGACCUCUUGGGACUGGGUUCUCUGUCGAAGCCUGAACGGUGUCGUCUAGAAUCGGAAUCGCGAGC
rnacentral:misc_RNA from 1 species